UACGUAGGUGGCAAGCGUUGUCCGGAAUUAUUGGGCGUAAAGCGCGCGCAGGCGGUCCUUUAAGUCUGAUGUGAAAGCCCACGGCUCAACCCGUGGAGGGUCAUUGGAAACUGGGGGACUUGAGAUGCAGAAGAGGAAAGCGGAAUUCCACGUGUAGGCGGUGAAAUGCGUAGAGAUGUGGAGGAACACCAGUGGCGAAGGCGGCUUUCUGGUCUGUAACUGACGCCUGGAGGCGCGAAAGCGUGGGGAGCAAACAGG
rnacentral:rRNA from 1 species